rnacentral:rRNA from 1 species
UGAAGCUCGAAAGUGCGGGUAUCGAACAGGAUUAGAUACCCUGGUAGUCCGCACGGUAAACGAUGGAUGCCCGCUUUUCGGUCAUAGGACCGUGAGGNCNAAGUGAAAACAUUAAGCAUCCCACCUGGGGAGUACGCCGGCAACGGUGAAACUCAAAGGAAUUGACGGGGGNCCGCACAAGCGGAGGAACAUGUGGUUUAAUUCGAUGAUACGCGAGGAACCUUACCCGGGCUUGAAUUGCAGAUGAAGGAUCCAGAGAUGGUGACGCCCUUCGGGGCAUCUGUGAAGGUGCUGCAUGGUUGUCGUCAGCUCGUGCCGUGAGGUGUCGGCUCAAGUGCCAUAACGAGCGCAACCCCUCUCUUCAGUUGCCAUCAGGUAAAGCUGGGCACUCUGGAGACACUGCCACCGCAAGGUGUGAGGAAGGUGGGGAUGACGUCAAAUCAGCACGGCCCUUACGUCCGGGGCUACACACGUGUUACAAUGGGGGGUACAGCAAGCCGGCUGCCCGCAAGGUCAGUCCAAUCAAGAAAGCCCUCCUCAGUUCGGACUGGGGUCUGCAACCCGACCCCACGAAGCUGGAUUCGCUAGUAAUCGCGCAUCAGCCAUGGCGCGGUGAAUACGUUCCCGGGCCUUGUACACACCGCCCGUCAAGCCAUGAAAGCCGGGGGUGCCUGAAGUCCGUGACCGCAAGGAUCGGCCUAGGGCAAAACUGGUAAUUGGGGCUAAGUCGUAACAAGGUAGCCG